GAUGAACGCUGGCGGCGUGCCUAAUACAUGCAAGUCGAGCGAACGGACGAGAAGCUUGCUUCUCUGAUGUUAACGGCGGACGGGUGAGUAACACGUGGAUAACCUACCUAUAAGACUGGGAUAACUUCGGGAAACCGGAGCUAAUACCGGAUAAUAUUUUGAACCGCAUGGUUCAAAAGUAAAAGACGGUCUUGCUGUCACUUAUAGAUGGAUCCGCGCUGCAUUAGCUAGUUGGUAAGGUAACGGCUUACCAAGGCAACGAUGCAUAGCCGACCUGAGAGGGUGAUCGGCCACACUGGAACUGAGACACGGUCCAGACUACUACGGGAGGCAGCAGUAGGGAAUCUUCCGAAAUGGGCGAAAGACUGACGGAGCAACGCCGCGUGAGUGAUGAAGGUCUUCGGAUCGUAAAACUCUGUUAUUAGGGAAGAACAUAUGUGUAAGUAACUGUGCACAUCUUGACGGUACCUAAUCAGAAAGCCACGGCUAACUACGUG
rnacentral:rRNA from 1 species